rnacentral:rRNA from 1 species
ACCUACGGGGGGCAGCAGUGGGGAAUAUUGCGCAAUGGGCGAAAGCCUGACGCAGCGACGCCGCGUGAGGGAUGAAGGUCUUCGGAUCGUAAACCUCUGUCAGCAGGGAAGGACGGUCACUGUGCUAAUCAGCAGUGAAUUGACGGUACCUGCAAAGGAAGCACCGGCUAACUCCGUGCCAGCAGCCGCGGUAAUACGGAGGGUGCGAGCGUUAAUCGGAAUUACUGGGCGUAAAGCGCUCGUAGGCGGUAUGUCAAGUCAAGGGUGAAAUGCCCGCGCUCCACGUGGGAACUGCCUUUGAAACU